CCUCCAUUUUGUAGCCCAUGCCACAGGAUCUUAGACAUAUAUUAAAAUAUUUAGUAUGAAAUGUCUAUACCUAGUCUCUCUUUUUCCCCCUUUCUUUUAAAGAAUUACACUUUCUCUCCACUGUGAAAGAACCACAUGUUCCUUAUUGAAGAUGUGAAUAAUUUGAAAAGGGAAAAAGAAAAACAGUCCCACUUCCCAAAGGACUCAGCUCUAACCGCCCCCUCACCCCCUGCCUCCAAGUUUGGUCUUUCUCUCCAUCACUUGGUCCUCUGCCAUUGGAUAUGCCAACUGUGCUGCCUUUCUAGAACAUGAGCAGAUCUUUCUGAUCCGUUCCUCUUUGCCCUUUUCUGAUCUGCCUGUCUAUCCAGAGUCAAUCCAGGUGAGAGAAGAGAUUUAAUUGGCACGGUCAUUCAGGCAGAACCCACCUCCUAUGGACAUUGAAAAUGCCAGAUCCUUGUUUUUUCAUCUUUCCUUGCAAGACAGGCCUGGGCGUGUGGCCAAAUCUCAGCCAAGAAUAUGUGAAAAGCAAUCUUUUUGAAGACUUUGGAAAAAAAAGAGGUCUUCUCCAUUAAAAAAGACAUGCACGGGAGAAUCAGCCUCACUCACGCAUUCUAUUUUUGCAAGCUGUGUGAGAUGCAGUGUUUGGAACAACCACCACCCUGCAGCUGUGAAGGAAGGCAUAACCUAUGCACUAGGAGGUGGAUGGGCCCCGUGUGACCUCGAGUCACUGCCAGAAUUACCCUGGGGCAAUCUCUGGACUGUGGGUACAAGAGAAAACAAAAUGUUUAGCUGUC